rnacentral:tRNA from 1 species
ACCGCCACAGCUCGGUUGGUAGAGCAUCUGCCCGUUAUGCGGAGGGUCGCCGGUUCGAUUCCGGCUUGCGGCG